GACGUAGGGCGCAAGCGUUGUCCGGAUUUAUUGGGCGUAAAGAGCUCGUAGGCGGUUCAUUGCGUCAAUCGUGAAAUCCUGUGGCUCAACUACAGGCUUGCGGUUGAUACGGGUGGGCUGGAGUUCGGUAGGGGAGACUGGAAUUCCUGGUGUAGCGGUGAAAUGCGCAGAUAUCAGGAGGAACACCGGUGGCGAAGGCGGGUCUCUGGGCCGAUACUGUCGCUGAGGAGCGAAAGCGUGGGGAGCGAACAGG
rnacentral:rRNA from 1 species